rnacentral:rRNA from 1 species
GGUUAAGUGACUAAGCGUACACGGUGGAUGCCUUGGCAGUCAGAGGCGAUGAAAGGCGUAAUAACUUGCGAUAAGCCCAGAUUAGGUAGUAAUAACCUUUUGAGUCUGGGAUUCCUGAAUGGGGAAACCCACUUGCAUAAGCAAGUAUCCUGUUGUGAAUACAUAGCAACAGGAGGCAAACCGGGGGAACUGAAACAUCUAAGUACCCCGAGGAAGAGAAAUCAACCGAGAUUCCGAAAGU